UGGGGAAUUUUGGACAAUGGGCGCAAGCCUGAUCCAGCCAUGCCGCGUGCGGGAAGAAGGCCUUCGGGUUGUAAACCGCUUUUGUCAGGGAAGAAAUCUUCUGAGUUAAUACCUCGGGAGGAUGACGGUACCUGAAGAAUAAGCACCGGCUAACUACGUGCCAGCAGCCGCGGUAAUACGUAGGGUGCAAGCGCUAAUCGGAAUUACUGGGCGUAAAGCGUGCGCAGGGCGGUUUUGUAAGACAGAGGUGAAAAUCCCCGGGCUCAACCUGGGAACUGCCUUUGUGACUGCAAGGCUUGAGUGCGGCAGAGGGGGAUGGAAUUCCGCGUGUAGCAGUGAAAUUGCGUAGAUAUGCGGAGGAACACCGAUGGCGAAGGCAAUCCCCUGGGGCCUGCACUGACGCUCAUGCNCGAAAGCGUGGGGAGCAAACAGGAUUAG
rnacentral:rRNA from 1 species